rnacentral:rRNA from 1 species
UACGGAGGGGGCUAGCGUUGUUCGGAAUCAUUGGGCGUAAAGGGUGCGUAGGUGGCGAGGCAAGUCAGAUGUGAAAUCCCGGGGCUCAACCCCGGAACUGCAUUUGAAACUGCCUUGCUCGAGUACUGGAGAGGAGACUGGAAUUUACGGUGUAGCAGUGAAAUGCGUAGAUAUCGUAAGGAAGACCAGUGGCGAAGGCGAGUCUCUGGACAGUUACUGACACUGAGGCACGAAGGCCAGGGGAGCAAACGGG